AUUUUUAAUGGGUCUACGUAAACAUACUGUGACAAGAUAAUCUUACCACAUUUGCAACUACAGUAUUUUACAGGGGAUCUAUUUACUGGGCUAUUCCUGCAGCUCACUGUUGCAGGAGUAUGCUAGUCAACAGUAAAAUUUUCUCCUUUCAAUACUAGCUUGAUGAAAAUGAGUAGCAAAAUGGACAGAGGAAGAGUGAGAUUUGCAAGAGGAUCCUAGCACUCCUGGGGAUCUUGCUGGAGUAGCAGGAUGUAGCUCUCCAAGUGAGUGAAAACAACUGUUUGACCACCACUACAAUCUGUCUGAUCUUCCCUGAGAUAAUCUGCAUGGUUUCUGGAGAACAUCAAAGGACCAGCACAAGGUAUGUGACAUCCAUAACUCAUGGUCAUUUGGGCCAAGCUUUGGUAAUAUCCUAAAGAUGGUUAGACCUUUGACUUUUUUUUUUUGAAGCUCAGGAGAAGAUAGAUCUAUUCUUACUUUGCAAAGAUGGACCACUGCUAAUCAGCACAAGCACAUGAACUGGAUAUCAUCCCCUCUUGCCCAGUUGGCAGGACUGCAUUUUUCCACCUAUUAUGAGGAAGUUGGGCUUAGCAGCAAAACUUCAUAUAUAGCAAUGUGCUAUGAUGGAGAUAAGCCACGUGGGGUGUGGCACUGUUAUCGUAAGUACAUAAAAACUGUCAUUCUGGAUCAGACCAAAGGUUAACCUAAUCCAGUCAGAAACCCCUGGAAGUUCCAGAGUGUGGAAGUAAUUCUUUCACCCAGUAACUUUCCAGUGGCUGCCAUUAGCUUCUAUGGGACAGAAAUAAAGCACUGCAUUUAGUGAUGAACAGGCUGCCAGAACACUUAAUACUGCUAACCAAAAAAGCUGCCGUUUAAAUUUCCCAGUGUUCUGGAGCAACAGUAUUUUGGGGGAACUGAAAAGAGUAAUCUUUAGAUUCAGUCCCAGGACAGAAAGGCCAGGAUAUUAAUAAGCACCCGUGAGCUCAAUUAGUUUGCUGUGCCCUCACAAGGGCUGCUAAGUGUGCAUAUCAGAUCAGAUUCCACAGUAUGUUCUUAAUCUCUCCCAUAUUAAUGAUUUCUUACGGGGAAGAAUAAAGUGCUGCUUUAGGGACAUUACUGCCUUGAGGAUAAAAUCUAUUUUUUUGCACCUAAUCAUAAAAUUGAGGCCCACCCAUCCUUCACAGAUUUUUGCAGGUACAAUGUGUCUCCAGAGCACUGAAGGUAAAACUGCAUUCCCACAAUGUGCAAAUCCUCCCUUGUACAUGCAAUAUGUCUACAUAAUUGUAGGAAUUUUGCUGCUAUGAAGCACAAAGAUUAAGAAAUAUUAAGCAGAUUAGCUCUGAAGAACCAUAGGGUUAGCAAAGCUUGAACAACAGCCUUUUUUAAAAAUGACCUUUAUAAGAAUAUGUAUUUCUGGGUCAAAAAACAAAAAAAAUGAAUAUUUUCAGUGCAGCAAUACAUUUAUUUUAAAUACAAUCAAGCAUUUUUUUUAAAUGUCACAGGCUAUAAUUCCACAGUCAGCAUCAAUUGGGAGUAGGAUUUCUAACAAGCUGAGCUAGAUUUUUGCUUAAUAGACUAGAUGGACAUUACAAAGGACACAGUUGUUUUAAGUCAUGCUUGCAGUGGGCAUUUUUCACUGGAUUCUCUGUUGGGUGGACAUGUUCUCCCACAUUUUGAAGGAUAAGAACAGCAACCAGGUUUUUAAAUGAGCCAUUUAUGAACAGGAAUACAAAAUGCAUAAAAAUGAUAAAGCAAAUAUAUUUUAGAAAGGACAGAAGAGCAAAGAUUAAGUUGUUUACUUAGAAAAGUGAGGAAAUCUUUCUACUGGUUAUCAUCUUGCUACAUUUUUCACUCAUGCAUUUACUGAUGACUCAUUAAACUCUCCUCUUAAAUUG